rfam:Actinokineospora bangkokensis strain 44EHW Scaffold32, whole genome shotgun sequence.
ACCCCCAUGGCCCAGCGGACAAGGCACCGGUCUACGGAACCGGGGACCCAGGUUCGACUCCUGGUGGGGGUA